CUUCGACUACAUAUACUUCUAUUUAUAGAAAAGUAAGCAACGUCUAUCCUAACGUUAAACUACUAAACUUCAGCCACGCGUCCUUUGCAUUUGAAAUGAACCAAGGCCUGUAAACCGUUGUAACCGUCGAAGUCGAAUCACCCUUAAAUGAUAAAAAUGCUCUAAGUCCACAAUUCUUGACUACUUCGAUUUAUUGGCUUCCAUCGAAAGAUUCUUUCAGUCUCGAGCUAUGAAGCUUUUCCAUUAGGAUUCUCUUGUUCUUGAAGUCAUUAAAGACUAAGGCUACCUAAAGCCAUCUCACCAGGUUUUUUUAUAGCAAUAAAUGUCUUUGGAAC
rnacentral:lncRNA from 1 species